CACGUAGGGGGCGAGCGUUGUCCGGAUUUAUUGGGCGUAAAGAGCUCGUAGGCGGUUUCGUAAGUCGGAUGUGAAAACUCCAGGCUCAACUUGGAGACGCCAUUCGAUACUGCGAUGACUUGAGUCCGGUAGGGGAGUGUGGAAUUCCUGGUGUAGCGGUGAAAUGCGCAGAUAUCAGGAGGAACACCUGAGGUGAAGACGGGUUGCUGGGCCAACACUGACGCUGAGGCGCGAAAGCCAGGGGAGCAAACGGG
rnacentral:rRNA from 1 species